rnacentral:rRNA from 1 species
AACUAACGCUGGCGGCGUGCCUAACACAUGCAAGUCGUACGAGAAAGUUGGCUUCGGCCGAUGAGUAAAGUGGCGCACGGGUGAGUAAUGCGUGGAUAAUCUGCCCUUUAGUUGGGAAUAACGUACCGAAAGGUGCGCUAAUACCUGAUAAUACUGCAUAACUACUGUUGUGUAGUCAAAGAAGGCCUCUGUUUACAAGCUUUUGCUGAAGGAUGAGUCCGCGUACCAUUAGCUGGUUGGUGGGGUAAUGGCCUACCAAGGCUACGAUGGUUAGCUGGUCUGAGAGGAUGAUCAGCCACACUGGAACUGAGAUACGGGCCAGACUCCUACGGGAGGCAGCAGUGAGGAAUAUUGCACAAUGGGCGCAAGCCUGAUGCAGCAACGCCGCGUGCGGGACGACGGCCUCGGUUGUAACCGCUUUCUGUAGGGACGAGCGAGGACGGUACCGUUAGGAAGUAAGUACUCGGCUAACUACGUGCCGGCAGCCGCGGUAAC